CUUCAAUCAAAAAAUAUUUGAAGGCAAUUCCAUACUAUAUGUAAAAGCAAUGAGGGUAGUUUAUCAAGGUAGAAAUGGAUGUGAUUCUGGGGCUAAGGGUUAAAUAAGGAGCAGUCAUAGUGGAAACAAAUACCUGUCUGCCUUGAUAAAUCUCCCUCACAAUUGGAUACCAUGCUCCAGUUUUGUGUUUUCAUGCAUACCAUUUUUGUGUUUUCAUGCAUACCUUUUUUUUUUAUGCCAGUAUAUGAAUUCCGAAAAGCACAUCAUUAGACCAAAGGCUUCCAUUUAAGAACACUCAUACCUUUAUAAGAAAACCAACAUACAUAGCAGCCAAUAUGAAGACAAGUAUAAUAGGCCAUCCUAUAAAAGGUUUCUCAGGGUAACUCAGACUUUGCC